rnacentral:snoRNA from 1 species
CAUUAUGAUGAUACAACAAAAACAAAGCUGGAAUUACCAACUGAAAUUUUUAAGGAUUAUAAGUUUUUGCAUUAUUUCUGAUA